rnacentral:rRNA from 1 species
UAUCUCUGUAGAGUCUGCAUAUCAAUAAGCGGAGGAAAAGAAACUAACAAGGAUUCCCUUAGUAACGGCGAGUGAAGCGGGAAGAGCUCAAAUUUGAAAUCUUCAAGGUUUUACCUUGACGAAUUGUAGUUUAAAGAAGUGUUUUCUGUUGAAGUUUCGGUAAAAGUUCUUUGGAAUAGGACAUCAUAGAGGGUGAGAAUCCCGUAUUUGACCGUUAUUUUCAGCUGUGUGAUACACUUUCAAAGAGUCGGAUUGUUUGGGAAUGCAGUCCAAAAUGGGUGGUAAAUUUCAUCUAAAGCUAAAUAUUGGCGAGAGACCGAUAGCGAACAAGUACCGUGAGGGAAAGAUGAAAAGAACUUUGAAAAGAGAGUUGAACAGUACGUGAAAUUGUCAAAAGGGAAGCGUUUGACACCAGUGUUGUUUUCUCGAAAAUCAAUUAAAAAUAACCUGAUUUUGUGUUGUAUUGACCUUUAAUCAGCUUUCUUCACUUUUUUCUUGUCUUUUUAAUGCACUUUUCGUUUAACAAGUCAACAUCAGUUUCUUUUGUUGUAAAAGGGUCAUUGGAAGGUGGCUUUCCUUUCGGAUGAAAGUGUUUAUAGCCUUUGACUUCUGCAAUCGGAGAGAUUGAGGUCUGCAGCGUAGAUCCUUCUGGGAUUAGAUACAUUUGUGCUAAGUUAUAGUUUUUCAUAGACAACAUGUUGACUAUGAUUAGUCAUGUAGCUUACUCGCUUAUGCUAAUUUUACCUACGCUUAGGAUGUUGAACGCGCACAGAGUCUC